rnacentral:rRNA from 2 species
GCACAAGCGGUGGAGCAUGUGGUUAAUUCGACGCAACGCGAAGAACCUUACCAGGGCUUGACAUCCCCUGACCGCGUAUGAAAGUACGUUUUCACCCUCGGGUGACAGGGAGACAGGUGGUGCAUGGUUGUCGUCAGCUCGUGUCGUGAGAUGUUGGGUUAAGUCCCGCAACGAGCGCAACCCCUACGUUUAGUUGCUAACGCGUGAAGGCGAGCACUCUAGACGAACUGCCGUUGACAAAACGGAGGAAGGUGGGAUGACGUCAAAUCAUCAUGCCCCUUAUGUUCUGGGCUACACACGUGCUACAAUGGCCGGUACAGACGGACGCAAAGCCGCGAGGUGGAGCAAAUCCUAAAAAGCCGGUCUCAGUUCGGAUUGCAGGCUGCAAUUCGCCUGCAUGAAGUCGGAAUCGCUAGUAAUCGCAGGUCAGCAUACUGCGGUGAAUACGUUCCCGGGCCUU